CCUACGGGGGGCUGCAGUGGGGAAUCUUGCGCAAUGGGCGAAAGCCUGACGCAGCCAUGCCGCGUGGAUGAUGAAGGUCUUAGGAUUGUAAAAUCCUUUCACCGGUGAAGAUAAUGACUGUAGCCGGAGAAGAAGCCCCGGCUAACUUCGUGCCAGCAGCCGCGGUAAUACGAAGGGGGCUAGCGUUGCUCGGAUUUACUGGGCGUAAAGGGCGCGUAGGCGGACACUUAAGUCAGGGGUGAAAUCCCGGGGCUCAACCUCGGAACUGCCUUUGAUACUGGGUGUCUUGAGUGUGAGAGAGGUGUGUGGAACUCCGAGUGUAGAGGUGAAAUUCGUAGAUAUUCGGAAGAACACCAGUGGCGAAGGCGACACACUGGCUCAUUACUGACGCUGAGGCGCGAAAGCGUGGGGAGCAAACAGGAUUAGAUACCCGUGUAGUC
rnacentral:rRNA from 1 species